rnacentral:ncRNA from 1 species
AUGGUCGCUAUGACGGGGAAAAGUAGAACUGCCCUUCAGGUCCAGAGAGCGAAAUCCACUGGCUGAGAGAUUUCGUCCUUGAAUCAGUUUGAACCCACCCUUGAGCUUCCAGGGAUGACCUGGACAGGUUUCUUUCACCUGUUAUCCAAGAAAGAGAGCCGGACGCUACCAGCCUGAAGCAUCGCUUCUCGCUGCAAACGUCAAGUAAGGUGGUACCGCGGAGGUCUUCAAGCCCUUUCGUCCUUAUU